UUACGACCAUAUCACGUUAAAAUACCCGUUCUCAUACGAUCACCGAAGUUAAGCAACGUCGAGUCUGCUUUGUAACUACAUGGGUAACCGGUGGAGAAUGUCAUGUACUGUAA